AUGGCCUCGAGCCUGCUCACCACAGACAAGAGAUGGGCAGCUCCUACAAGGAAAUCUGGCAUGACUGUUCUUGGAAAAAUCCCAAAGCCCAUUAAUUUGCCAAGUCAGAGGUUGGAAAAUCAAGGUCUUGACCCCAAUGUGGAAAUCGUUCCAAAGGGCACCCUCACAUGGGGCAGCAAACCAGGACCUACAACACCAAAUGCAUGGAAUUCCUCAUCACUUCUAUCUCCCAAGAAGGAUGGAAAUUCUGGUGCACCAAGCCAAUUCAAUGGCCGUCCCUCUUCCGGUGGAGGUUCAAGGCCCUCAACAGCUGGAAGUGAAUCUCUUGACUCUCCUAAUGCUUGGGGUCCAAAUUCUCGUCCGUCCUCAGCAUCUGGCACAUUACCAUCACAAAAUGUACCAGUGGUCACAAAUCGUCCUCGAAGUGCAGAGACAAGACCAGGAAGCUCACAGCUUUCUCGGUUUGCAGAUAACCCCUCAGAUAAUAUGAAUGUAUCGAUAAGGACUGUUGACAGAUCGGGAUCUUCACAUGGGCAUGCGUUUACUCUAAGUACCGGUGAUUUCCCAACACUUGGUUCUGAGAAAAUUUCUGAAUCAAACAGUCAACGAGGUCAUAGUUCAAAAGGGCGCCCAACUUCUAGUUCUGGCAAAGAUGGAACCCAAAAUGAUAUGGGGAAGAGCCUACCUGCUGGAUCUGGCGAAGUAGUUCGACCACCUAAUAAUCAACCAGCAGAUAUCAUGAAGACAGACCAGCAGGCACAUGAUGGAAGUGCUCCCUUUCCUGCCACAGGUCAUCCAAAUGAAGCUCAGCAGCUACAGCCAUACCCUCCUAACUAUUGUAUGCCCCUUCCGCAGUUUGAUUCAUGGCGUGCACCUCCUGGCCAUCCACCUGAGGGAAUGUGGCAUAGAGGACCAGGUGGCCCAUACAGACCAGUUGGUCCCUCUAGCAAUUUCCCUGUAGAACCAUUCCCUUAUUAUGGUCAGUUCCCACCCAACUCAGAAGCAGCAGCAAGGCAGGGCUCAGGGCAUGGUGGAUAUCACUCGAAAAAUGCCGAUGCAUAUCAUUCUAUGACUCCUAAUUCGUAUGUUAUGAAUCAACCUGUUAUUCCAGUCAGGCCAGUUUACCAGGGCCCAAUCCCUUAUGAUGGAUAUUAUGCUCCUCAACGUCCAAAUUUCAAUAAUGCCAAUGUAAGAGAUUCACCAUUCGUCGGAGGCCCUCAUCAACCAGGAAUAUUGAAUCAAUUUCCCAAUCAGAAUGAGAAAUUCCAGCCUGGACAUUCUCCGAGCAGAGCAGUCAAACACGAAGCAAGUCCCAAGGAGCUCUCCGAAUCUGAUAGAGUACAUUUGAUUUGUCGUGGACAAACUAGGAUUUUGCAUGAUAACCCUGAUCGUUUAGUGGGUCCUGGUGAAGUUGAAAGGAAGAGUCAGCCUGCACCACCACUUCUUCCACAUCCAGAUGGAAAUCGAAACGAUGUAAACACAAAGGCAGAUACAAGGAAUACCCCUAAUGAAAGGAACAUGGUGCUUAUGAAGUCAGUGCAUGAUAACAGAGGUCCUAAUCGUACAAGCCAUUCAUCUGUUUUGGAAAAUGCACAUUCCCAUCCCAAGGAAACUGAUGAUGGCGCCCACCUGAAAAAGUUGAAGGAGGAUAAUCUUCCGCUUGAUCAGCAACCUAUCAUUAAGAAGAAUGCAGCUUUGAUAGAGAAAAUAGGGAGUUUGAACAACAAAGCUAGAAAUGUUGAUGCACGAAGUGUUGCAGAAGCAUUUUCAAACAAGGAAAUCAAAGAGAAGCAGCUAAAAAAUGCUGGUUCAAAAGCAGAUCGGGUGAUAAAAGAUGUUCCAUCUACUCCUGCCAUAACUGCUUUUGCUUCUGUUUCUGGCCAGGCAGCAUGUGUUUCUCCUCGUUCUCCCGUGGCACAGAAACUGCAGAAGGAAUCUAAUGAUGGCGGUGUUGUUGGACCGUUACACUCACAUUUUGCUGAAGCCAGCAAGGCUGGAAAGUUGGGUGUAUCAACUCAUGAUCGCACACAUAGGCGGGUUGAUUCUUCAAGAAAUAGCCACCAUGGCCCUGCUAAAGACAUGCCACCCAACAAUUCUACAGGACAUGGGCGGGGAGAAAAUUAUGCAACUGAAUCUUUGCCAGUAGUUCAAGUGAGGAAUAGUCAGCAUGACCAGCCUCCGGAGCAUGUUUCGCAGGUGCCACCUGAUGACAUGCCAGCUUCACCCGAUUAUGAAUCUCAGCGUGUAAAAAUGAGGGAGUUGGCUGUACAGCGCGCCAAACAAUUGCAAGCUGAGGAAGAAGAACGGACAAAGCGACAAAAGGCAAAAGCUCUUGCAAAAUUGGAGGAGCUGAACAAGCGUUCAUCAGUACAUCAGAAGAAUUCCAGUGAUCCACCACCAGAAAAUGACGACGUGCAUAAUAAGCCAAAGGCUGGAGUUGAUGGGAGUACUGAACCUGCAUCUUCAACUGCUGAAUCACAUGAUGUUCCUGUAUUGGAUAAUGUUAGUAUUCUUCAGCCACCAAAUGAACCCAAGGAUACUGCAGUUCCUGCACAGCCCAUGUCUACUCUACUACAGGCUGAGGGUACAGGUAAAGAUCUUUCUGGUCAUAACACUUCAACCUCAGGCAUGAACACACAGAGCAACAUGAUGGAGCAUAUAGCCCAUAAAAGUAUAUCACAGUCACAUGAUCUCAGUGUUACAAAGCCUAGGCAGGGCUACAGAAAAAGGCAUGCUGUUUCAGAGGAUAAAAUUCUUGGUGAGAACUCAAGUGUGGCAGUAAACACAGAAAAUGUUAAGAAAGCUGUUGAGGUUUCUUUGGACACAUCAACUGCUGUUGUUACAUCACAUGAUGAUCCCCCAGCCCACAGCAAGAAGAGUGCCAGGAACUCGAGAAAUAAGAAAAAAGUUGAUGAUGCUCCUGCUGCUUCUAAAUAUCCACCCAUGGUUGUUGGUCAGCAGAAUGCACCAAGCAUCUCCAGUGAGCCAAAAAUAAAAACCGCUGGUGUUAUCAUUAGUAGUUCUAUACUUCCUGCUGAAAAUACUGUGCUUACAGUUGGAAGUAUAACCGUGGGUGGUAUUUCAUUUGGAUCUUUCAACCAGGAGCGCCUGAAAUUACCAGAGGAAGCUCAGAGCACUGCAAAUAGCCGCCCAAAACCUCAGCAAGCAAAAGGAUCAAAAAAGAUUCAACAUGCUAUCCGACCUGUCGAGAAGCCACAUGGGAAUGAGAGUGUUGUCUGGGCACCAGUUAAGCCAUCAGGGUGGAAUGAACCAUCUGAGGAAGCUGACGCAGCAGUAGCAGCCAGGCCUAAGACAAUUGGAAAGGGCACCACCGAUGGGGAGAAUGUCACACGAACUAAGAGAGCUGAAAUGGAAAGAUAUGUGCCUAAGCCACUGUCCAAAGAGCUUCAACAGCAGAAUCUGGAACAAAAUUUACCUGUAGAAAAAUCCUCUGUGGAGAACAAGAGUAAUGAUAAUGAGAAGUUAACCGCUGCUAAAGAGCCCAAGAAAUGGGAGGACAAAAAAACUAGUAGAGGGCAUGGAAAGUCUCAUUCUUCUUGGCGCAGGAGGAAUGCAGAUGACUCAUCUUCGGUGGUACCAAUACCUUCUGAGCGAGCAGACAGCUAUCAAGAAUCACAUGAAGUUCAGAGGCCUUCUGAUAAGCAUCAACAGCUUGAACCUGACAAGCAAGCCGAUUAUGCUGCCGGGAAUAGUUUGGCUCCAACUGAAGCAGUUGAGUUACCUGCCAGUGCCGCAAAAGAACAUGCUGCAACUAACAGGCAAAGGAGGCAGCAUGUUAAGGGCCCAAAAAACGAGGCAAGUAACUACUCAAAUGAGAACAGAGAUGGCAGGAAAGAUGUGAAUCACAUGUCAACACGGGGAAUGGAUGCAAACUCUUCUGAACAUAGAAACAUGUCUAAACCUGAGGUGAAGAGCAGCGCAGCUGGUACACACUCUAGAGCACACUGGAAACCAAAAUCUUCACAUUCCCAGAGUAACUCACAGGGCAAUAAUACCACUGAAGGUCAGGUGGACAGUGCUACUCUGCAAGACAGCAGCAAUCAUAGUAGUAAUCAAGGUAAAGGUGACAUGACAAAUGUGGAUGAGAACCAGAAGGGCGAGAGUCACGAAAAUGCAGAACAGCAGCAGCUUAAUCAUGCAACCCGUCGCCAGGGACAGCACAACGGGAGGUAUCACAGGGGAAGUGGCGCGCACAGGGGAAGGGGUUAUGAUGCUGGGCAGCCAAGCCAUGGCGCAAAUGCAGAAAGGCGGAGGGGUAGCACUCAUCUUGAAUACCAGCCAGUUGGCUCCAACAAACCCUCAGACUUCCAGCAGAACCCAAGUGCCGAUGAACAAAGUGCAGGGCCUCCAGCUCCAGGACCAGUGUACAGGGAGCGCGGCCACAACAGGGGCCACCGCCCCCCUGGUGGUCACUUUGUCAAGCGGAAUCCUGCCCCUGCCCCAGCCACAGCCCCAGCUCCAGCUCCAGUUCCUAAUUCUUACCGAGAAGAAUGA
rnacentral:rRNA from 1 species